rnacentral:rRNA from 1 species
CAUUACUGAGUGAGGGCCCUCUGGGUCCAACCUCCCACCCGUGUUUAUUGUACCUUGUUGCUUCGGUGCGCCCGCCUCACGGCCGCCGGGGGGCUUCUGCCCCCGGGUCCGCGCGCACCGGAGACACUAUUGAACUCUGUCUGAAGAUUGCAGUCUGAGCAUAAACUAAAUAAGUUAAAACUUUCAACAACGGAUCUCUUGGUUCCGGCAUCGAUGAAGAACGCAGCGAAAUGCGAUAACUAAUGUGAAUUGCAGAAUUCAGUGAAUCAUCGAGUCUUUGAACGCACAUUGCGCCCCCUGGUAUUCCGGGGGGCAUGCCUGUCCGAGCGUCAUUGCUGCCCUCAAGCACGGCUUGUGUGUUGGGCUCCGUCCCCCCGGGGACGGGUCCGAAAGGCAGCGGCGGCACCGAGUCCGGUCCUCGAGCGUAUGGGGCUUUGUCACCCGCUCUGUAGGCCCGGCCGGCGCCAGCCGACAACCAAUCAUCCUUUUUUCAGGUUGACCUCGGAUCAGGUAGGGAUACCCGCUGAACUUAAGCAUAUCAAUAAGCGGAGGAAAAGAAACCAACAGGGAUUACCUCAGUAACGGCGAGUGAAGCGGUAAGAGCUCAAAUUUGAAAGCUGGCUCCUUCGGGGUCCGCAUUGUAAUUUGCAGAGGAUGUUUCGGGAGCAGCCCCCAUCUAAGUGUCCUGGAACGGACCGUCAUAGAGGGUGAGAAUCCCGUAUGGGGAUGGGGUGUCUGCGCCCAUGUGAAACUCCUUCGACGAGUC